GGUGAGUAACGCGUUGGUGACCUACCUCGAAGUCUGGGAUAACCCUGCGAAAGUGGGGCUAAUACCGGAUGUGGUCAUCGGAUUUAGAAACCGAUGUCUAAAGGAUUUAUUCGCUUCGGGAGGGGCCUGCGUCCCAUCAGCUAGUUGGUAGGGUAAUGGCCUACCAAGGCGACGACGGGUAGGGGACCUCAGAGGGUGGCCCCCCACAAUGGAACUGAAACACGGUCCAUACACCUACGGGUGGCAGCAGUAGGGAAUAUUGCACAAUGGGCGAAAGCCUGAUGCAGCAACGCCACGUGUGCGAAGAAGGCCUUCGGGUCGUAAAGCACUUUUCUGGGAGAUGAGAAAGGACAGUAUCCCAGGAAUAAGUCUCGGCUAACUACGUGCCAGCAGCCGCGGUAAAACGUAGGAGGCGAGCGUUAUCCGGAUUCACUGGGCGUAAAGCGCGUGCAGGCGGUUUGGUAAGUUAGGCGUGAAAGCUCCCGGCUCAACUGGGAGAGGUCGUCUAAAACUACCAGACUCGAGAGCGGUAGAGGAAAAUGGAAUUCCCGGUGUAGUGGUGAAAUGCGUAGAUAUCAGGAGGAACACCAGUGGCGAAGGCGAUUUUCUGGACCGUUUCUGACGCUCAGACGCGAAAGCUAGGGUAGCAAACGGGAUUAGAGACCCCGGUAGUCCUAGCUGUAAACGAUGUGAACUUGGCGUUGGUGGCUUAAACACCAUCAGUGCCGUAGCUAACGCGAUAAGUUCACCGCCUGGGGACUACGGCCGCAAGGCU
rnacentral:rRNA from 1 species